rnacentral:rRNA from 1 species
UCAAGAAACUUCCACAAUGGGCGAAAGCCUGAUGGAGCGACGUCGCGUGAUGGACGAAGUGCUUCGGCACGUAAACAUCUUUUAUGUGGGAUGAAAUUAUUGACAGUACCACAUGAAUAAGGGGCUCCUAACUCUGUGCCAGCAGGAGCGGUAAUACAGAGGCCCCAAGCGUUAUCCGGAAUCACUGGGCGUAAAGGGUGUCGAGGCGGUUGUAUUAGUCGUUCGUAAAAUCUACGAGCUUAACCUGUAGGCGGCGAACGAAACGGUACGACUUGAGGUUUGGAGAGGUGCGUGGAACUCACGGUGUAGGGGUGAAAUCCGUUGAUAUCGUGGGGAACACCAAAGGCGAAGGCAGCGCACUGGCCAAAAUCUGACGCUCACACACGAAAGCUAGGGUAGCGAAGAGGAUUAGAUACCCUCGUAGUCCCUGAGCGGGCUGGCAAGGCGCAU